rnacentral:rRNA from 1 species
GAUGAACGCUGGCGGCGUGCCUAAUACAUGCAAGUCGAGCGAACGGACGAGAAGCUUGCUUCUCUGAUGUUAGCGGCGGACGGGUGAGUAACACGUGGAUAACCUACCUAUAAGACUGGGAUAACUUCGGGAAACCGGAGCUAAUACCGGAUAAUAUUUUGAACCGCAUGGUUCAAAAGUGAAAGACGGUCUUGCUGUCACCUAUAGAUGGAUCCGCGCCGCAUUAGCUAGUUGGUAAGGUAACGGCUUACCAAGGCAACGAUGCAUAGCCGACCUGAGAGGGUGAUCGGCCACACUGGAACUGAGACACGGUCCAGACUCCUACGGGAGGCAGCAGUAGGGAAUCUUCCGCAAUGGGCGAAAGCCUGACGGAGCAACGCCGCGUGAGUGAUGAAGGUCUUCGGAUCGUAAAACUCUGUUAUUAGGGAAGAACAUAUGUGUAAGUAACUGUGCACAUCUUGACGGUACCUAAUCAGAAAGCCACGGCUAACUACGUG